rnacentral:lncRNA from 1 species
CACCAGGAAAUAAAGUUCAAGAGGAGUGGGAAGCUGUUGCAGACUUGAUGGAAAGGAAGGAAUCAUUAGAAGAUAAAGGUCACGAGGAGUGGGAAGCUGCUGCAGACAUAAUAGAAAGGAAAGAAUCAUCACAAGAUAAAGGUCAAGAGGAGAAGGAAGUUGCUGCAGACAUUAUGGAAGGAAAGGAAUUAUUGCAAGACAAACAAUAAUGACAGUGUGAAGAGUCACCUGCACCAGUUCCCUUUCCUCUUUCUUUGUAUUGGUGACGAUAAUUUGAGUGUGAAGCUUGCAAACAUUUGUCUCCCAAAAACCCCCACUUGUUCUCAUGUUUCCUGAAACUGUAAUGCUUAUGUUGUUCCAUUUAAUAAUUAUGCAAUGAAUAUUAUUUUUCAGCACAGAAAAUCACUGAAACAGGGUUGGAAACAAGAGAAAGUUAUAUACCUGCGAUGAGAAAAGAAAAGACAAAGCCACUGUCGAAAAAUCAGAGCUUAGCCACGGUAACCCACAUGAUCAAGACUAGUUAUCGUUACUGUGUUCAUGACUUCUUCAACGAUGUCCUUAUCUGUCAAAUGAAAAUCAAACUCAGGGUCCUAACAUGCCACAUUAAUAUAUGUACAGCCUAGUAAGUUUAUGUUCUGAUACACAAAAGAGAGCCUAAGGUUUCUUGUUUGGUAGUUGUUGUUACUAUAGGUUGAAAAAAUCUGGUAUAUAUACCUCAUGCAUCAAUCUUGAUACAAUAAUGACAUCGGUAACCUCUAUGAAAAGUGUAAGUUCAUGUGCUGCUAAAUACUAUCUAACGAAUAACCAUAAACAAGUCGGAUACAAUUCAGCUUACUAUCUAACGAAUGUGGACUAUGUAACUAACACACACACACACACACGCAGAGAAUGUUUAUGCAGCCACAUAAAGCUACUUCUUACCUCUCUCUCAUGGACAAUUCCAAAAUCCGUGUCCAACCUCAGCAGCUUUAUAAUCAUAACAUGUAGUGUAUGCCAACAAAAAAAGGAGCAGACUUUGGAUUAAUAAACAAAACAACAACAGCCCGGAAGCAAAAAUCACCUGCUGCAAGGUAAAAGCGUAUGAAUCUUUAUGAUCUACCAACCCCUAUUAUAUAGAAAAAAAAGACUACAUAAGUUAAGCACUAUAUCUCAAGAAGCUCACUUGCAUAAUGCAUUUACCAAUUAACUCAGUUUCUUCUGCAGAAUCAUUAGCUGUCCAAAACUCAGCAGCUUUUAUCACCAUAACGUGUACACCAAAAAAAAGACUCAAACACUAGACUUAGCUUAAUUUCUUCUGCAGACUCAAUAAAUUCAUUACCAUUAAAUUAACUUAAUUUCUUUUGCAGACUCAUUAUUUACAUAUAAAAGACUCGAUUUUUAUCCAGAAAAAUUGAAACUUUAAACGACACCCACCAAUCUAUUCAACCUGAAAUUUUCAAACAAUUACCGCAAAAAAUCAAGAUAACCCAUUAAAUAAGUACCUUUAUCACGACAAAGGUAACUCCUUGAAUCAACAAACACAGAAGCAGGUGCCUGAGGGAUGAGCACAUUGCUCGGAGAAUUUACACUGAUUUCUCCGAUGGUUCCGCCUACAGCUAUCGAAACAAGAAAAAGAAGAACACGAAGCUAAUCCGGUUCCGGAUAAAAGCUUAACCGGAUAUAACCGAGUGAAUUUGGUAUUUUCUAAUCCGGUUCCAGAAAAUUAGGAUUUGGUUCGUAUUCGUUUUU